GUCCUUUUGAUUUUUAUUUAAGGUCUGACCUGCCCACUGAUUUAUUUAAUGGCCGCGGUAUUUUGACCGUGCAAAGGUAGCAUAAUAAUUUGUCUUUUAAUUGAAGGCUUGUAUGAAUGGUUGGACGAGAAAGCUUCUUUCUUUAUAAUAUAAAUAUUAAUUUUAUUUUUUAGUUAAAAAGCUAAAAUUUUGUUGUAGGACGAGAAGACCCUAUAGAACUUUAUAUUUAUUUUUAUAUUAAUAUUUUUGGUUAAUAAUAUAUUAUAUUUUUAUAAAUAUUUUGUUGGGGCGACAAGAAAAUUUAUUUAACUUUUUUUAUUAAUUUCAUUAAUUAAUGUAUAAAUGAUCCUUUAUUAUGGAUAGUUAGAAUAAGUUACCUUAGGGAUAACAGCGUAAUUUUUUUGGAGAGUUCUUAUCGAUAAAAAAGUUUGCGA
rnacentral:rRNA from 1 species